UUCCUUUUACCGCAACAAAAACCCAAUCCCUUCCCCAAAUUUCUUUGUUCCAAAAUAAAAAGGAAUAAAGGUCUUCUCCUUUCUUCCCCUGCCAAGGCGCAAAUGGAUCAGCCCCCUACUGUUAAUCCACCUUGAUCAUGAAGAACGGCGACCCGAGAAGCCACAAUCAGUUGCAGGUGCUGUGAAAUCGUGGAGGAAGAGUGCACGAUCGUGCAACGUGCGAGCUAAGAAUCCGUUUGUGGGUGUUGAAGCGUGAGAGUUGCGGCGUGGGCAAAUGGAACCCUAGGGUUUGCUAUUUUUUUUGAAAAAAUUUGGGUCAUUGGGCUUGUAAUCGGGCCUUUUAAUUUUAGUGAUUUGGGUCUGUAUCUUGGGCCAGGCAAAAUUUGGGCCCUACAGUUUUCACAAGAAUAAACUCGGAAUGAGUUUAUGAGACCUAAAA